CUUUUAAUUUCUCCUCUGUGCCAAAUUGUGGAAGCUGCAAAAUAAUGGCAUUUAAGGUCCUCAUGAAAUGAGAGAAUUUCUAACAUGUGCUGCUAGUAUGAUUUUUAUUUUAUUAUUUUUUAAAGAUAUUCCUUAUGUUUUCAUAUAUGCACAUUUUCUACCAGUCCUAAUCCCAUGUAGUGUCAGUGUGUUAAUGCACACUAUGUGAAUACUUGAGGGUUACUUGAAUUUAAUGUUUUAUAUAUAUAUAAUAUAUAUAUAAUUUUCCAAGGCAAAGUCAAACAAUGCUCCCUCCUUUAGUGUAAAAUGUACUAAAUAAACUAGUGUGCGUUUGGUUUUGGAUUCGGCACCAAAUAUACAAUUAUUGGAAUUUUGUCAAACCUCUACCAGUGAAUGUGUUAAUACCACUUCAGUUUCUUUGACCAAAUUUCAAAAUGUUACAAAAAAAACAUGUAUGCCAUCAAAUGAUUCAUUAGUAAAAGUAUCUUGUUAGCUUUUCUGUUACAUUUCUCUUUUUACCUUGGUUGUGUGAAAUCAGGCCACAGUGACCAUGUUCCUCAUUGUGUUGACACUUGUGGCGUCUCUUCUUAAUUGUUUCACUUCAGUACUCAUGUAGAUUCUAUGGGAAUUUCUCUUGAGAGUACAUUUGUCUGUGAUUUCACCAGAUUUCAGCCCUGCCUUAUUCAGUUUUUCAAAUAGAUUUUUAAAUGUACUCAAAGCAUACCAUGCUCAUCUUUCAACCAGAUGUGGAUGUAUAGGGUGUAUAAUUAAGGACAGAUGUCUAAAAAGGUCAAACAUUUUCUUUCAUUUUUUAAAAAACAAAACAUAUAUAUGUAUGGUACAUUAACAGAGUGAUGAGAGAUGCAUUUAAUGUAUACUAUAUAAAGCAAAUGAACUAUUAAGCCUGUUGUCAAAGAGCAGCAUGUCUAUUUGUGAGAGGUACAUGUUUGACUUCUGUCCUGACGAGGGUACAGGGUUUUUACAUGGAUAUGGUGUUUGACAAGCAGCUACUGUCAUUCAGAUUGGAUGUUUGAAUCGUUUUACCCUUCAAACUACUUUUUUUUUUUUAUAUCUUCAUAUCCACUAUAGGACAAUAAUUUCCAUAUUGUGAGAAGAAGUACAAAAAAUGUCUAUAAACCAUAAAGCAUAUUAAAAGGGGAAAAAAGGUAUUUCCAGUAUUGCUAACCGAUACGAGUCAAGCAGGUAGGACUGGGACUGAAGUUACAUAUCAAUAUCAACUCCCACUGUGUUGGUGCAGGGGACUUAAUGUAGCAUUUUUUUUUUUUAAUUUUCACAGGAAGUUGGGCUCAUAUCUUGGCCUUCUUACAUCAUGUGUAACUGUUUUGUGGUUGACGUUUGCCUUCCAGAGAAUGUUGACCAAUCAGUGUGUGUGUGUGUGUGUGUGUGUGUGUGUGUGUGUGUGUGUGUGUGUGGACCUGUACAAAUAUCAGUUUGUUAAGUCUAAGUGAGAUCAUUGUUAGGGUGGAUAAAACUUAUAACUUAUAACACAUAAUUAUCCAAAUUGGAAGACUACAGUUGCAAUCAAAAUUAUUCAACCCCCCAAUU
ensembl:lncRNA